UACAGAGGUCCCAAGCGUUGUUCGGAUUCACUGGGCGUAAAGGGUGCGUAGGUGGUGGGGUAAGUCUGAUGUGAAAUCUUCGAGCUUAACUCGGAAAUGGCAUUGGAUACUACUCUGCUAGAGGUUUGGAGGGGGGACUGGAAUUCUCGGUGUAGCAGUGAAAUGCGUAGAUAUCGAGAGGAACACCAGUGGCGAAGGCGAGUCCCUGGACAACACCUGACACUGAGGCACGAAAGCUAGAGGAGCAAACAGG
rnacentral:rRNA from 1 species